AAUCGCGGUUAUACGAGAGGCCCUAGUUGAUUUAUUAACGGCGUAAAGGGUGGUUAAGGAGACAAUAAAAUAAAGCCAAAUGAUUCUUUAGCUGUUAUAAGCUCUUAGAACCCCGAGACCCAAUACACGAAAGUAGCUUUAAUUUUAACCUGAACCCACGAAAACAGAGGAA
rnacentral:rRNA from 1 species